rnacentral:rRNA from 1 species
AUAGAGGGUGAGAAUCCCGUCUUUGACACGGACUACCAGUGCUUUGUGAUGCGCUCUCAAAGAGUCGAGUUGUUUGGGAAUGCAGCUCUAAAUGGGUGGUAAAUUCCAUCUAAAGCUAAAUAUUGGCGAGAGACCGAUAGCGAACAAGUACCGUGAGGGAAAGAUGAAAAGAACUUUGGAAAGAGAGUUAAACAGUACGUGAAAUUGUUGAAAGGGAAACGCUUGAAGUCAGUCGCGUUAGCUAGGAAUCAGCCUUGCUUUUGCUUGGUGUACUUCCUGGUUGACGGGUCAGCAUCAAUUUUGACCGGUGGAAAAAGGCCAGUUGAAUGUGGCACCUUCGGGUGUGUUAUAGCUUCUGGUCGUAUACAUCGGUUGGGAUUGAGGAACUCAGCACGCCGCAAGGUCGGGGUUCGCCCACGUUCGUGCUUAGGAUGCUGGCAUAAUGGCUUUAAUCGACCCGUCUUGAAACACGGACCAAGGAGUCUAACAUGCCUGCGAGUGUUUGGGUGGAAAACCCGAGCGCGUAAUGAAAGUGAAAGUUGAGAUCCCUGUCGUGGGGAGCAUCGACGCCCGGACCAGACCUUCUGUGACGGAUCCGCGGUAGAGC